rnacentral:piRNA from 1 species
UGGAUUACUAUGAGACCUCAGUGAAA